UACGUAGGUGGCGAGCGUUAUCCGGAAUUAUUGGGCGUAAAGCGCGCGCAGGCGGUUUCUUAAGUCUGAUGUGAAAGCCCACGGCUCAACCGUGGAGAGUCAUUGGAAACUGGGAAACUUGAGUGCAGAAGAGGAAAGCGGAAUUCCACGUGUAGCGGUGAAAUGCGUAGAGAUGUGGAGGAACACCAGUGGCGAAGGCGGCUUUCUGGUCUGUAACUGACGCUGAGGCGCGAAAGCGUGGGGAGCAAACAGG
rnacentral:rRNA from 1 species